rnacentral:rRNA from 1 species
AUGAACGCUGGCGGCGUGUCUAAGGCAUGCAAGUCGAGUGGGUUUAGACCCACGGCAAACGGGAGAGUAACACAUUGGUAAUUUACCCUGAGGACGAGCAUAACUCCGAGAAAUCGGAGAUAAUACUCGAUAAUAGCGGGGGGACAAAAGUCAUUCCCACUUAAAGUUCCGGCGCCUCAGGAAAAGCCUAUGUUCUAUCAGCUAGUUGGUGAGGGUAACGGCCCACCAAGGCUAUGACGGAUAGCGGGUGUGAGAGCAUGACCCGUCUCACUGGGACUGAGAUACUGCCCAGACUCCUACGGGAGGCUGCAGUCAAGAAUAUUCCUCAAUGGCCGCAAGGCUGAAGGAGCGACGUCGCGUGUAUGAAGAAGCCCCUCGGGGUGUAAAGUACUUUUCUCUGGGAAGAAACCAUGACGGUACCAGAGGAAUAAGGAGCUGCUAACCUCGU